rnacentral:sRNA from 1 species
UCCCUGCAAAUGGCAAUGUGCAUAAUAA